rnacentral:rRNA from 1 species
UACGGGGGGGGUAAGCGUUGUUCGGAAUUACUGGGCGUAAAGGGCUCGUAGGCGGCCAACUAAGUCGGACGUGAAAUCCCUCAGCUUAACUGGGGAACUGCGUCCGAUACUGGAUGGCUUGGAUUCGGGAGAGGAAUGCGGAAUUCCAGGUGUAGCGGUGAAAUGCGUAGAUAUCUGGAGGAACACCGGUGGCGAAGGCGGCAUUCUGGACCGACAUUGACGCUGAGGAGCGAAAGCGUGGGGAGCGAACAGG